CAAAACUACGGUCUCAGUUCAGAUUGCAGGCUGCAACUCGCCUGCAUGAAGUUGGAAUUGCUAGUAAUCGCGAAUCAGAAUGUCGCGGUGAAUACGUUCCCGGGCCUUGUACACACCGCCCGUCACACCAUGAGAGUCGAUAACACCCGAAGCCUGUGAGCUAACCGUAAGGAGGCAGCAGUCGAAGGUGGGGUUGAUGAUUGGGGUGAAGUCGUAACAAGGUACC
rnacentral:rRNA from 1 species